AUCAAAUAAUUUUUAUAGCAAGUACAUUUGUGUAGAAAUAGCAGUGGAUGGGAAAUUCAUAUGAAGACUUAGAAUUAUUUUUGUUUUUGUUAUAGAAAGAGUUACCGAUCACGAUUAUAUAACAUCACUGCGGGCUCAUUCAACCUUCUACUUCCCUGUAGAUUGCAGUACUAGGGGUUAAUCAUAUCAACUCAGCAAACCCCGUGCUCUGAUUGGUUGCUGGAAUCAAUGCUCUUAGCAUAUUUUCUAUUCUUUAUUAUUGGUUAAGACUAAAUAUUUAUGACCUGCUUCACACUAAAGUAAGUAUUAGCUAUUCAAGUGGUACUAUACUUUGUCUGCAUGAAAAUAUGUUUUUAUAGGUAAUAUUUUUAAAGUUUUGAAAAUUUCAAAUUUUAAGGCCCUAUUUAUUGAGUAGCCAUAGUUAGCUUCAUGUAGCCAUCCAUAAAGAAAUAGUGAUGGUCUAUAGUCCUAGAUGUUAUAAUGUCAUGUAAAGGAAUAUUUUGAAAUAAAGUAAGCCAAGCAAUGCAGUGGUCUGACACACACUGUGAUGAUGAUGACGGCAUUCAAUGGCUUAUCAUGUAAUCGCAUGACAUUACUGUACUAUGUUGCCAUCUGUUGAAGGGAAAUGGUCACAUCUCAGGAAUUACACCAUUGAUUACAACAUUAAAAAUAAAGCACCUAUAACUCGUUAACCUUUUUUUCUUGAGCUGCCCUGUUUUUUUGUUUUUUUUUAAAUUGUAAGAAAAUUCCUUGCACCAAAACCACUACAGCACACUUUUGUGGAUAUGGUGCCAGGAGUGCACUAGUGCCCCGUCAAUGUCAGUAGCCAACUAUUUUACAACGGUUUGACUUCUUACCUGUGGUCCACCAGCUGUCACUCCCUAUCUUAAAAGGACACUCCAGACCCUGAAAGCUCUUCAACUUGCUUAAGUACUUUAUGUGUGAGGAGUCUGUCAUCUUUUUUCAUGAAUCAAAAACUGCAGUUUUCAAUAGAAGUGGCACUUUUAAGAAUUAGCAUUGUUACUUUGCCCCUUCCCCCUCUCUGUCAAUCAGAUAACCGGAUCGGUUACUUCCUAGUUUGGUUAACUCUGUGAAGCUUAAAAACCAAGAGGCAGCAAUUGCCCAGAAUACCUGUCUUGCAAAGACUUCUCUUUGAGCUACACUGGGAAGUCUGUGAUAGAACAGCCACCAAAAGUCUUGGUUGGUUUAGAAUGGGAGGGCUUGUAAUGUCUGUUUU